CCUACGGGUGGCUGCAGUGGGGAAUAUUGGACAAUGGGGGGAACCCUGAUCCAGUCAUGCCGCGUGUGUGAAGAAGGCCCUCGGGUUGUAAAGCACUUUCAGUGAGGAAGAACGCCUGGUGGUUAAUACCCAUCAGGAAAGACAUCACUCACAGAAGAAGCACCGGCUAACUCCGUGCCAGCAGCCGCGGUAAUACGGAGGGUGCGAGCGUUAAUCGGAAUUACUGGGCGUAAAGCGCGCGUAGGUGGCUUGAUAAGCCGGUUGUGAAAGCCCCGGGCUCAACCUGGGAACGGCAUCCGGAACUGUCAAGCUAGAGUGCAGGAGAGGAAGGUAGAAUUCCCGGUGUAGCGGUGAAAUGCGUAGAGAUCGGGAGGAAUACCAGUGGCGAAGGCGGCCUUCUGGACUGACACUGACACUGAGGUGCGAAAGCGUGGGUAGCAAACAGGAUUAGAUACCCCUGUAGUC
rnacentral:rRNA from 1 species